rnacentral:tRNA from 1 species
CUCUAGGUAGCUCAGCUGGAAAAGCACCAGACUGCAAAUCUGAAUGUCACUGGUUCAAUCUGGGUCCCGGAGA